UACGUAGGGGGCAAGCGUUGUCCGGAUUUAUUGGGCGUAAAGAGCGUGUAGGCGGCCUGACAGGUCUGCUGUGAAAACUCGAGGCUCAACUUCGAGACGCCGGUGGAAACCAUCAGACUAGAGUCCGGAAGAGGAGAGUGGAAUUCCUGGUGUAGCGGUGAAAUGCGCAGAUAUCAGGAAGAGCACCCGUGGCUAAGGCGGCUCUCUAGUACGGUACUGACGCUGAGACGCGAAAGCGUGGGGAGCGAACAGG
rnacentral:rRNA from 1 species